AACGAACGCUGGCGGCAUGCCUAACACAUGCAAGUCGAACGAGACCUUCGGGUCUAGUGGCGCACGGGUGCGUAACGCGUGGGAACCUGCCCUUAGGUUCGGAAUAACUCCCCGAAAGGGGUGCUAAUACCGGAUAAUGUCUUCGGACCAAAGAUUUAUCGCCUUUGGAUGGGCCCGCGUUGGAUUAGCUAGUUGGUAGGGUAAAAGCCUACCAAGGCGACGAUCCAUAGCUGGUCUGAGAGGAUGAUCAGCCACACUGGGACUGAGACACGGCCCAGACGACUAGGGGAGGGAGGAGUAGGGAAGCGUGCGCAAAGGGCGGAAGCCGGACGGAGCAACGCGGCGGGAGGGAGGAAAGUCUUCGGUUCGGAAAACUCUGCGAAGAGGGAAGAACAGAUGUGUAAGGACCUGUGCACAGCGGGACGGUGCGUAAUCAGAAAGCCACGGCUAACUACGUG
rnacentral:rRNA from 1 species